rnacentral:rRNA from 1 species
CACGUAGGGGGCGAGCGUUGUCCGGAAUCAUUGGGCGUAAAGAGCUCGUAGGCGGCUCAGUAAGUCGGGUGUGAAACCCCCAGGCUCAACCUGGGGACGCCACCCGAUACUGCUGUGGCUAGAGUCCAGUAGAGGAGUGUGGAAUUCCCGGUGUAGCGGUGAAAUGCGCAGAUAUCGGGAGGAACACCAACGGCGAAGGCAGCACUCUGGGCUGGAACUGACGCUGAGGCGCGAAAGCGUGGGGAGCAAACAGG